rnacentral:rRNA from 1 species
UGGGGAAUAUUGCACAAUGGAGGGAACUCUGAUGCAGCGACGCCGCGUGAACGAAGAAGGCUUUCGAGUCGUAAAGUUCUUUUAUAUGGGAAGAUAAUGACGGUACCAUAAGAAAAAGCCCCGGCUAACUACGUGCCAGCAGCCGCGGUAAUACGUAGGGGGCUAGCGUUGUCCGGAAUCACUGGGCGUAAAGGGUUCGCAGGCGGAAAUGCAAGUCAGGUGUAAAAGGCAGUAGCUUAACUACUGUAAGCAUUUGAAACUGCAUAUCUUGAGAAGAGUAGAGGUUAGUGGAAUUUUUAGUGUAGCUGUGAAAUGCGUAGAUAUUAAAAAGAAUACCGGUGGCGAAAGCGACUUACUGGGCUCAUUCUGACGCUGAGGAACGAAAGCGUGGGUAGCAAACAGG